UCUGUGGGAGGAGUCACUCAUCCACUUUAUAAAAGCAGUACUUUCAACCUGAUUCACCACCACACUAUCUGUCAUUCACUCAUCUGAUGAAGAUUAUCCUGCGAUCGUUCAGGAAUGGAAUCCACAUGUCGCUUAUACAUCAGCCUUCCGAAAGAACACGAGGAAACUUUUGAAGAAAAAUUUGGAGAAUGGGACUAUGGGAUUGUUGUUACAGAUUUGAAUCCAUGUUUGACAGAUGUUGAUCUUCGUGCCUACUUUCAUAGGUUUGGGACAAUAACAGAAUGUGUUAUCAAUACAGACGAGUCAUCAGGUUGCCCAAAGGGUGUGGGGUUUGUGAGAUAUUCAUCUUCAGAUCAGGCUGAAGCACCUCUAACAAAUGAUUCACACUAUCUUGGAGGCUUUCAGGUGAAAAUACGCAAAGUUUGUACACCAAAGAUGAAUCAAAGUUAAUUUUACAGAGCUGCUGAAAUAUCAUCAUGCACCACCAACCUUCAUAUGCUGUACAAAGUGUUUGAUAUCAAACCUCUUUUUCUUGUUUCUUUCACAGAAAUGUGAAAUAACUGAUUCUGUAUAUAAUAACAAUUUAGUGUCAGAUUUUAAUUACAUUUAUAUUGCUUGGAUAUUUUAUUAUGAUUCAAUGCCAAUGACAUAGUAAAUUAAUUCUCCCAACACUUUUGAGUUGCCAGAUUGGUUUAAUAGCACAUUAAGAGAGAAUUCUAUGAUCUUCAAGAGAACUAACAAAGACAACAGAUAUUUCACCGUAUAUGAGGCCAGACAGCAUAUAGUGAGGUUAUCUGGUAAAUCUGAAUUAAACUUUUUUGUGAUUCAGUCACUCAGUAAAUUAAUUGUAGUCAUUUAAUUUAACACUGAAGUGCAGAGAGAGUUGUUUCACCUUCAUCUCAUUUAUUUCUGCCCAGAUGUGAAAACUGUGCUCUUAGCUUGUCAAAAAACACAGAACAAUGUCAUUUUUUGCCAUGUUAUUUUAUUAAACUUCUUCUGAUGAGUCUUUUCUUAUCACAAUGUGUACAAAAUCUGGUAGGCUACAGUGGUCCAGAGUAAGUGAAGAGUUUGGUUCCAAAACGCAAUAAACGCCAUUUUUGAAAAAAAUGAGUUACUGCCAAAAUCAGCAUUAUAUCAGGUCAGUAGUUAAAAGUAAAUUCUUAAUUUUACGCAAAAUCCAAUAUCCGCCGUGUUAUUCUGUCAUCUUUUCUCCCUUUUUUCCCAAAAUGCGAUAAACGCCACUCCCACUUUUUUACAGAACGCAAUAAAUCCCACAGCGCACCAUUCACGCAAUGUAAACAAACAUGGCGGCACGCUGAGUACAUGGAGUCCUAGUUUUCCUCAUCUACUUUGUACUUUGUGAUCAACAAACAAAACAAAAUAAUACUUUAAUUGCAUUGAUAAACCUGUGAUGGUUUUCUGUGAUGGGAAAGAAACGUAAGCCAUCAGCAUCUAAUAAUUUCCCUGAGAGGCACUCGGGAGACGGGUGCUUGUUCUCCCGACAGCAUCAAGCUUCUCAUGCUAACACAUUGACCCCAGAGGAUCUUAUGAAAAACUUUACAUAAUUUUACUCAAAGUCAACGAAAAUCGAGCAGGACCAAAACAUUUUACAGCUGAUCUCUGUGAAAGACGUUAAGCGAAGACGUCAAGUAACCGCAAUGACAGUGAUCUUAAUAUGACAAAGUAAGUGUUUUGAUUAAUAACAUUAAUGUUUAUAUUUUUAAUUAGUGUGUACAACUAGUCAACUAAAUGAAUAUAACAUGGCAAAGAUGAAUGCACAUUUAUAUAGGCUAUUGGUUCAAUAGAUUUAUAGCAUUUUGAAUAAAAACUUGUCAUGGAUUUAUUGCAUUUUGUGGAAAAAAUAAUCCGUUUUUAUAAUAAAUCUUUGAAAAUCAACUUAUGGAUUUGAAUUUUUUAUGUUUUUAUAACCUAAAGAUGCUGUGUGAAAGUUUGUAACAGAAAAUAGUUGUUUUCAUCUUGUCACUUUCUUGGUAUAGAAAACACGUUUUUACCAAAAUUUGUCAAAAUGGAUUUAUUGCGUUUUGGAACCAAACUCUUCAAGUGCUUCUGUGAAAGACGGUCUGUCAUUUUAAAGCUGAUUUACCUGAAUUGUACAUCUUACUCAUUAAAACAUGUUUCUGUUUGCAAUAGUGAAUGCUAAUUAUGUCUUUGUUAUAGUCCAAGAUCCUCUGCUCAAUUAUUUACAGUUACAAUGCAAAGCUUUGAAACUAACUAGUAAAGCAAAAUGUACACAUUAACUUAUAUAUUUCAAAUUGCUGUCUGUAUAGCCAACCUGAUAAAAACAUGGACGUACUGAAGGUUCAUUGAAGUGUUGCUGUUCUUAGAUAUCAGUAUGAUCACACACGCGCGCACAUAUCACUGUACAGCCAGUGAUGGGAGAAAAGCUUCGAAUCAAUUGAACCAAUUGCUUCACAAAAUGAUUCACUCUUUCGAAGCAUUAGAAACACUAUAAGCUUUUGCUCGCCUUUGUAUGCUGCGCACCUCUGGCGCAACUACAAAAAGAAGAGCAUGCAGGCUUUGGUGGUGGCAUAUAAUGACUCCUUUAGAAUGCUAUUGAAAGAACCGCGGAACAACAGUGCGAGUGAGAUGUUUGCUAACAGUGGUAUAAGAUCUUGUGCAGCUAACAUUAGACAUUGUAUCUAUACAUUUAUGUGUAGAAUUCAGAAUCAAUCAAACUGUAUUGUUCAAGCCCUGGUAUGUCCGAAGAAAAGUUCGAUCAGGUUUACUUCAAGAAUUUGGAAGCACUGGCGCUCCUCUUUAUGUAUAAAUAAUGUAUAGUAUUUUUCUAUUUUUGCAUUUAUGGUAAAUUCUUAUACUUGUUUUGUAAGCUUUUCUUUUUAAUACUAUGGACCAGGAUUUUGUGUCCUUAAUAAAGAUUUAAUAAUAUACACGCUGGCGACACCUGCUGGUCAAAGUGUGUAAAGGCAACGAAAUCUUAUCACCUUCUAUAAACAAUUGCAUGUAUAUUCACAACAGUCACAGUUUAACACUUUCAAUAAAAUGUACAAAUCAUGAAAUAUCAUUAAAUAUUAGUAUUAUUCAGGUUGUCAGGUUUUUACGGCACCUAUUAUACAAAAAAACUUUAAAUGUCAAAACCAUGGUUAUUUUGUGGUUACCAUGGUUUUACUACAGUUUUUUUAACUGUAGUAAAGCCAUGGUUAAUUUGCCCAGCAAACACAUGACACUUCAUUUUUUUAACGUUCAUAAAAAUAAAACUCACCCGAAAAUUAGUAAAGGAUA